rfam:Parcubacteria bacterium GW2011_GWA2_40_23 TT91_C0003, whole genome shotgun sequence.
GCGGAAUUCGUAUAACGGUAUUAUGUUAGCUUCCCAAGCUAAAGAAGCGGGUCCGACUCCCGUAUUCCGCU